rnacentral:rRNA from 1 species
UAGGGAAUCUUCGGCAAUGGGGGGAACCCUGACCGAGCAACGCCGCGUGAGUGAAGAAGGUUUUCGGAUCGUAAAGCUCUGUUGUUAAGGAAGAACGAGUGUGAGAAUGGAAAGUUCAUGCUGUGACGGUACUUAACCAGAAAGGGACGGCUAACUACGUGCCAGCAGCCGCGGUAAUACGUAGGUCCCGAGCGUUGUCCGGAUUUAUUGGGCGUAAAGCGAGCGCAGGCGGUUAGAAAAGUCUGAAGUGAAAGGCAGUGGCUCAACCAUUGUAGGCUUUGGAAACUGUUUAACUUGAGUGAAGAAGGGGAGAGUGGAAUUCCAUGUGUAGCGGUGAAAUGCGUAGAUAUAUGGAGGAACACCGGUGGCGAAAGCGGCUCUCUGGUCUGUAACUGAAGCUGAGGCUCGAAAGCGUGGGGAGCGAACAGG